rnacentral:rRNA from 1 species
UACGGGGGGGGCAAGCGUUGUUCGGAUUUACUGGGCGUAAAGGGCUUGUAGGUGGCCAACUAAGUCAGACGUGAAAUCCCUCGGCUUAACCGGGGAACUGCGUCUGAUACUGGAUGGCUGGAGUGUGGGAGAGGGAUGCGGAAUUCCAGGUGUAGCGGUGAAAUGCGUAGAUAUCUGGAGGAACACCGGUGGCGAAGGCGGCAUCCUGGACCAUUACUGACACUGAAAAGCGAAAGCCAGGGGAGCAAACGGG